CCACGCCCCACUGAGCCAAUCAUUGUGCGAUGCUGCAUCUUCCUCUAUCACAAUCACGAUUUACUCACUAGAUUCGACUAGUACGACAAAGGAUUCGGGGAAUCAUUAGUGGUCAGUCACUCACUCACUCAGUCACUCCCUAAUCUUCCCAACACUGGCGAAAUUAGCCCCAACAUCUCCAGAUUGCUUCGUUUUCUAUUAAUAAAUUUACCCCUCUUUCCGGGCCAAUGCGUACAAUGCGUACUUGCACGGAGAACCUUCCCCCUCGGAGUAUCCCCUUGGCCGAUCUGCCAUUGAAGACAUAACUAGCAACAAUCUCCUUUUGUGCGGUGGGGAGCUUCUUCCGGUCCAGUCCCAGGUACGUUUUUGAUCCGAUCAGAUCAACUGUCUCGUGGAUGGGCCAGGGCGAGGCCAACAGUGUGUUCGCCUUUCUCCCGCCCUACAAAGAUCUACCUCUUCCAACCAGAGAUUAUCAUUAACUAUCAUUAUUAUUAUCAUUAUUACGAACCCGAACGAUGAAGCCCCAUAUUUAAUAAUUCAAUGGUGAUACCAAAGUCCCAGCGGCAAAAAGCAACCAAUCCCCUUUUUAAGCUGCUCAAUGGAAUGGUACCUCCAUAGUUAGUAAUAUAUGUAUAUUUAUAUAUAUAUAUAAAUCUUCUAUCCUCCUCCCAUCUUUCCUUUCCUUCCGUCGUUCAUGCUCGUACCAGUUCGGAUUUCGCCCCUCCUCGUCACACGAACUGCAUACAUCCGUAUAUGAGGGGCCCUCCCCCAUGUAUAUAUAUCCUUCAUCCAACCUCCCAGCCACCUUCCUCGCUCUCUCUAGUACCUACCAGCCAAGAAGGCGUGAUGAGUGAUGAGUAAUGAAUCAAAGGAACAGAGCAAAAAAAAAAAAAAAAAAAAAAAAAAAAAACCAUUUCUAUUGACCAGAGUUUUAGUCAGCUAACAAUUCUUCCUCGUCGUCGUCCUCGUCUCCCGUUUUUGAUACAUACGUAAUAUGAUACGAUAGUUAUCCUGCUCAAUCAUUCAAUCAUCCGGUCCAACCAGCUACCAGCCGGAUGCACUUCCCGUUACAUAUGCACGUAUGUGUACAGUACCUCCCUAGAUAGGGCAGGCUAGAUAGGGCUAGGGCGGGCCUACCUGCCCUGCCCCUGCCCUCCUACAUCCUACAUCCCCCGCUAUCCUCCUCGGUCUAUCUAUCGCGCUCUCUCUCUCUCUUUCUGUGUGUGUGUGGGUCUGUUUACUUGUUUUAUCCGGUGAUAGAUAUCGAGAGAAACUCGAUAAGAUAACACACAUCGCUGCUAACCCGCUAGCCCGCUAAACCCCCGCUGCGACCUCUUGCUUGUUAAAAAAAACACCUUCGAUCUCGAUACAUGAAUACGAAUUCCGCUCUUCUGCUGCAUAAGCCGAAUUGUGUCUCUCCCAACCAACCAAACCUCGCCGCGCCAUGGAUUGUUGGUUGGUAUGGGUAUGGGAGGGGGCCGUACGAUAUUUUUCCGAACAAGUGCGGGAAGGCAAGGUAGGGAGGGAGGUGAGGAAGAGUAGAAUCGAAGAGUUAAGGCACAUUGGCCAAUUUUUUUCUUCCAUACUAACAAACUCAUGUUAAGGUACUACAGCGUAGCUAUGACUCGACUAAAUUGCUGUGAUGGGUUUUUUGACUAGUUUACCUCGUCAAGUGACUAACUUUGCUUUGCCUUGCCUUGCCUUGCUUUCGUGAUGGGAUCUAUCUUCCCUUCUUCGGCGAACUUGUUGGAGCAGCAAAAUCAAAAAAGACAAAAAAAAAAUUAAACUAAAUUAAAUUCCCCGCUCCGUACUUGGGCGGGGGAGGGG
rnacentral:sRNA from 1 species